AAGUCGUAACAAGGUUUCCGUAGGUGAACCUGCGGAAGGAUCAUUAUUGAAUAUUCCUGAUGAGUUGUAGCUGGCUCUUUGGAGCAUGUGCACGCUUGUCUUGAUCUUAUUCAUCCACCUGUGCACAUUUUGUAGUCUUUUGGGCUGAGUCGAGUAUCGGAUGGAUGUCUAUCCGGAUGUGAGGACUGCUGAGUGCGAAAGCAUACGGCUCUUCUCUGUUUGACCUCACCCUUGAGUACUAUGUAUUCAUAUACCACAUACUAUGUUGUAGAAUGUGAUCAUUGGGCCUUUGUGCCUAUAAUAAUCAUAUACAACUUUCAGCAACGGAUCUCUUGGCUCUC
rnacentral:misc_RNA from 1 species